rnacentral:rRNA from 1 species
AUACGUAGGGGGCGAGCGUUGUCCGGAAUGAUUGGGCGUAAAGGGCGCGCAGGCGGCCCGGUAAGUCUGGAGUGAAAGUCCUGUUUUUAAGAUGGGAAUUGCUUUGGAUACUGUUGGGCUUGAGUGCAGGAGAGGUAAGUGGAAUUCCCAGUGUAGCGGUGAAAUGCGUAGAGAUUGGGAGGAACACCAGUGGCGAAGGCGACUUACUGGACUGUAACUGACGCUGAGGCGCGAAAGUGUGGGGAGCAAACAGGAUUAGAUACCCUGGUAGUCCACACUGUAAACGAUGAAUGCUAGGUGUAGGGGGUAUCGACCCCUUCUGUGCCGCAGUCAACACAAUAAGCAUUCCGCCUGGGGAGUACGGCCGCAAGGUUGAAACUCAAAUGAAUUGGCGGGG